rnacentral:rRNA from 1 species
AUGGAUUUCCCCGUUUCUCCUGUUGACAAAUUGCCAAUCUUUCCAGAUGAGGCAUCUAGCGCGGCGGCGCUGCUCGAGAUGUGCGGGCGCGGUGCAGAACGCACCGGCGAGGGAUCUCGUGGGGCAGUCCUGUGCGGGGCAGCGCGGACCUCUGCUGAAAACACCGGUCGUUUUUUGGGCGAAGAAUCAAGUGUUGGCGGGGUUGGAGGACCUAUGCCCUAUUUCAGCGAGAGCGAAGGCGACAACGCAGAUGCAAUCCAGGAUGAGGAGCAGAAAGAGGCUGCAAUGGGAGAAAUUGGUGAAGACGACGAUGCUGCCACUGUUCAGUCCACUGGGAAGGUAGAUCCUCAGGCUCCAGGAUGGACAAAAAGGGUAAGAGUUGGGAAUCAGCCGUUGGAUAGAGUUUCAUGUCCUGAGAGAGUAGGGGCACUGGAGCAAACAAUCAGGGGAUAUGCUGAAAAGCUCGGGGAUCAUGUGCUUGAGCCAGUAAUUGGGAUGACAUUUGAUUCAUUGGGCGAGGCGUACGAUUUUUAUAAUUUGUAUUCUUGGGAAAAUGGCUUUGGCAUCAGAUACGCCAAAAGCAUGCUUAAUGCAGAGAAGACAAAGUGUAUGCAGGAAGUAGUAUGUGGAUGUGCCGGGAAACCAACUAGGGAGAAUAGCAGGUCCUGCCGGUGUGAGUGCCCCGCGAUGAUAAGAUUGUUGAGAACAUCAGACAAUGGCUGGUACAUAACAGAGCACAGACCAAGUCAUAAUCAUUCAAUGACGCAGACAUGCGGCGAGAAAGUGCAUUGGCUGUCACAUAAGCACAUAGACAUGUACACCAAGGAUUUGGUGAAGCAGCUAAGGCAGAAUAAUGUGAAUGUCACAAAGGUGUACAGCAUAAUUUCAAGUUUUUUCGGGGAUGCUGAGAAAGUUCCAUUUACUAAAAGAUCACUGCGAAACCUGUGCGGUAAGAUUAACAGAGAGCAAGCUGAGGAUGAUGUCAAGAAGACAAUUGAUGUCUUUGCUGAGAUAGCAGCUAAAGAUCAGGAAUUUGUUUUUAGAGUACAACCAGAUAACGGCUGUAGGAUUAAGAAUUUGAUGUGGGCUACAGGCAUCAGUAGAAACCAGUACAUGUAG